rnacentral:tRNA from 1 species
CCUAAUGGCAGAAAUAGUGCAAUAGAGUUAGAAUCUAGAAACAACUC